CAAUAGCGUAUAUUAAAGUUGUUGCAGUUAAAAAGCUCGUAGUUGAAUUUCGGGUCCCCGCGCUCGGCGCCUCAUUGUGCCGUCGUGGUGUCCCUCCUCGCCGUAAGGCGUCCUUUACUGUGAAAAAAUUAGAGUGUUCAAAGCAGGCAAUCGCUUGAAUACAUUAGCAUGGAAUAAUAAGAUAGGAUCUUGUCUAUUUUGUUGGUUGCGGACAACGAUAAUGAUUAAUAGGGAUAGUUGGGGGUGUCCGUAUUGAGCUGUCAGAGGUGAAAUUCUUGGAUUUGCUCAAGACGAACUACUGCGAAAGCAUUCACCAAGGAUAUUUUCAUUA
rnacentral:rRNA from 1 species